rnacentral:lncRNA from 1 species
UUCCAAUACACUGCUUGCUGCCUCAUUGAAAACUGAGCAGGAGGCAGGAGGCAGGAGGUAGGAGGACAUGAGACUAUGUCUCUCACGGGAGCAAUGCUUGGGAAUUUGCAGCAUUUUGCUGCAGUCUUUCAAUCUCUCUCUUUCUCCCUCUGUCUCUGCCUCUCUGUCUGCCUGUUUGUCUGUCACUCUCUCUCCCCCUCUUUUCCCUCCUAUCUCCCUGUCUCCUUCCCUCCCUCCCUCCUUCUCAGUCUCUCUCUCUCUCCCUCUCCCUCUCUCCCUCUCUCUCUCUCUCUCUCUCUCUCUCUCUCUCUCUCUCUCUCUCUCUCUCUCUCUCUCUCUGUCUCUCUCUCUCUGUCUCUCUCUCUCUGUCUCUCUCUCUCUGUCUCUGUCUCUCUCUCUCUGUCUCUCUCUCUCUGUCUCUCUCUCUCUGUCUCUCUCUCUCAGUCUCUCUCUCUCUGUCUCUCAGUCUCUCUCUCUCUCUCUCUCUCUCUCUCUCUCUCUCUCCCUUCCUUUGUUUCUGUCCCCCUUCUCAGCUCUCCUUUCUCUUCUCUAUCUCAAUCUCUGUCUUUGUCUCUCCCUUUUCUCAUCUCUCUUUCUCUCAUUUCUCUUCUUUCUCUCCCCUUUCUCAUCUGUCCUUUCUCUCCAGUUCUUGUUUCUUCUCUUCUUCUCUUCUCUUCUCUUCUCUUCUCUUCUCUUCUCUUCUCUUCUCUUCUCUUCUCUUCUCUUCUCUUCUCUUCUCUUCUCUUCUCUUCUCUUCUCUUCUCUUCUCUUCUCUUCUCUUCUCUUCCUCUUUCACUCUUCUCUUCCUCUUCCUCUCACUCUUCUCUUUCUUUCUCUUUCUCUCACUCUCUCUCGUCUUCUCUCACUAUCUUUCUCCCCCUUAUCAUCUCUCUCCUUUUUCUUCUUUCUCUUCUCUCUGUCUCAGUCUUUCUCUGUCUCUGUUCUCCCCCUACCCCUCCCAUUCAUAGAUUCUCCUUUCUUACACACAGUGUCUCUGAGUCCCAGAAGUCAUUGCCUCCCCUAUAUACUUAUACACCUUCCAUCAACUGACAUUUAUCGCUGGGAAUAAUGAAAGGAGUCUUUUUUACACUCUGGGGCCUCAGCAAUGCCAUAGGGAGACAGAUCCCUGUGUUGCAAAUAAUUAAUUUAGCUACAUAUUGCAUAACAUUCUAAAAAGCUUUCUGGGGUGAUCUCCUGCCGGCUGGACAUUCUGAGUUUAUCAAUAUUGCAUCACAUUU